CAGUCGCCGCGGUAAAACGAAGGGGGCUAGCGUUGCUCGGAAUUACUGGGCGUAAAGGGCGCGUAGGCGGACAGUUCAGUCGGGGGUGAAAGCCCGGGGCUCAACCUCGGAAUUGCCUUCGAUACUGGCUGUCUUGAGUAUGAGAGAGGUGUGUGGAACUCCGAGUGUAGAGGUGAAAUUCGUAGAUAUUCGGAAGAACACCAGUGGCGAAGGCGACACACUGGCUCAUUACUGACGCUGAGGCGCGAAAGCGUGGGGAGCAAACAGGAUUAGAUACCCCCGUAGUCCCUGUCUCUUAUAC
rnacentral:rRNA from 1 species